rnacentral:rRNA from 2 species
CAUUUGAGUGAGUGGCGGACGGGUGAGUAACACGUGGGUAACCUGCCCUAAAGUGGGGGAUAACAUUUGGAAACAGAUGCUAAUACCGCAUAAAACCUAACACCGCAUGGUGUAGGGUUGAAAGAUGGUUUCGGCUAUCACUUUAGGAUGGACCCGCGGUGCAUUAGUUAGUUGGUGAGGUAAAGGCUCACCAAGACCGUGAUGCAUAGCCGACCUGAGAGGGUAAUCGGCCACACUGGGACUGAGACACGGCCCAGACUCCUACGGGAGGCAGCAGUAGGGAAUCUUCCACAAUGGACGAAAGUCUGAUGGAGCAACGCCGCGUGAGUGAAGAAGGUUUUCGGAUCGUAAAACUCUGUUGUUGGAGAAGAAUGUAUCUGAUAGUAACUGAUCAGGUAGUGACGGUAUCCAACCAGAAAGCCACGGCUAACUACGUGCCAGCAGCCGCGGUAAUACGUAGGUGGCAAGCGUUGUCCGGAUUUAUUGGGCGUAAAGCGAGCGCAGGCGGUUUCUUAAGUCUGAUGUGAAAGCCUUCGGCUCAACCGAAGAAGUGCAUCGGAAACUGGGAAACUUGAGUGCAGAAGAGGACAGUGGAACUCCAUGUGUAGCGGUGAAAUGCGUAGAUAUAUGGAAGAACACCAGUGGCGAAGGCGGCUGUCUGGUCUGUAACUGACGCUGAGGCUCGAAAGCAUGGGUAGCAAACAGGAUUAGAUACCCUGGUAGUCCAUGCCGUAAACGAUGAGUGCUAGGUGUUGGAGGGUUUCCGCCCUUCAGUGCCGCAGCUAACGCAUUAAGCACUCCGCCUGGGGAGUACGACCGCAAGGUUGAAACUCAAAGGAAUUGACGGGGGCCCGCACAAGCGGUGGAGCAUGUGGGUUUAAUUCGAAGCAACGCGAAGAACCUUACCAGGUCUUGACAUCCUUUGACCACUCUAGAGAUAGAGCUUUCCCUUCGGGGACAAAGUGACAGGUGGUGCAUGGUUGUCGUCAGCUCGUGUCGUGAGAUGUUGGGUUAAGUCCCGCAACGAGCGCAACCCUUAUUACUAGUUGCCAGCAUUUAGUUGGGCACUUCUAGUGAGACUGCCGGUGACAAACCGGAGGAAGGUGGGGACGACGUCAAAUCAUCAUGCCCCUUAUGACCUGGGCUACACACGUGCUACAAUGGAUGGUACAACGAGUUGCGAGACCGCGAGGUUUAGCUAAUCUCUUAAAACCAUUCUCAGUUCGGAUUGUAGGCUGCAACUCGCCUACAUGAAGCCGGAAUCGCUAGUAAUCGCGGAUCAGCAUGCCGCGGUGAAUACGUUCCCGGGCCUUGUACACACCGCCCGUCACACCAUGAGAGUUUGUAACACCCAAAGCCGGUGAGGUAACCCU